rnacentral:rRNA from 1 species
GACGAACGCUGGCGGCGUGCUUAACACAUGCAAGUCGAACGGAAAGGCCCUGCUUUUGUGGGGUGCUCGAGUGGCGAACGGGUGAGUAACACGUGAGUAACCUGCCCUUGACUUUGGGAUAACUUCAGGAAACUGGGGCUAAUACCGGAUAGGAGCUCCUGCUGCAUGGUGGGGGUUGGAAAGUUUCGGCGGUUGGGGAUGGACUCGCGGCUUAUCAGCUUGUUGGUGGGGUAGUGGCUUACCAAGGCUUUGACGGGUAGCCGGCCUGAGAGGGUGACCGGCCAAAUUGGGACUGGGAUACGGCCCGGACUCCUACGGGGGGAAGCAGGGGGGAAUUUUGCACAAUGGGGGGAAGCCUGAUGCAGCAACGCCGCGGGCGGGAUGACGGCCUUCGGGUGGUAAACCGCUUUCGCCUGUGACGAAGCGUGAGUGACGGUAAUGGGGAAAGAAGCACCGGCUAACUACGU